UACGUAGGCAGCAAGCGUUGUUCGGAAUUACUGGGCGUAAAGAGUGUGUAGGCGGUGUUCUAAGUCUGUUGUGAAAUCUCCCGGCUUAACUGGGAGGGUGCGGCGGAGACUGGAAUGCUAGAGUGUGGGAGAGGUAAGCGGAAUUCCAGGUGUAGCGGUGAAAUGCGUAGAUAUCUGGAGGAACACCGGUGGCGAAGGCGGCAUCCUGGACCAAUAUUGACGCUGAGGAGCGAAAGCUAGGGGAGCAAACGGG
rnacentral:rRNA from 1 species